GCAAAACGCGAAGAACCUUACCCACCUUUGACAUGUACGGAAUCCUUUAGAGAUAGAGGAGUGCUCGAAAGAGAGCCGUAACACAGGUGCUGCAUGGCUGUCGUCAGCUCGUGUCGUGAGAUGUUGGGUUAAGUCCCGCAACGAGCGCAACCCUUGCCAUUAGUUGCUACGAAAGGGCACUCUAAUGGGACUGCCGGUGACAAACCGGAGGAAGGUGGGGAUGACGUCAAGUCCUCAUGGCCCUUAUAGGUGGGGCUACACACGUCAUACAAUGGCUGGUACAAAGGGUUGCCAACCCGCGAGGGGGAGCUAAUCCCAUAAAGCCAGUCGUAGUCCGGAUCGCAGUCUGCAACUCGACUGCGUGAAGUCGGAAUCGCUAGUAAUCGUGGAUCAGAAUGUCACGGUGAAUACGUUCCCCCGGGUCUUGUAC
rnacentral:rRNA from 1 species